rnacentral:lncRNA from 1 species
AUGUUGGCAUACGUGGUGGUUUUAAAACAAAUUCAAAAAUUCUUUGACAUUUGUCCCAUCAAAGUGUGGAAUCCAAUUCCUCUCCUCUAGAAUAUAGGCUAGCUUUAGUGACUUGCUUCCAACAGAUAUAAUACAGUGAAUGUAAUGCUGCAUGACUCCCGACACUAGGUCAUAAAAUCAAUAUAGCUUCCACCUGGCUUUCUCUCUCUCGAGACGCUUGUUCUUGGAACCCAGCUGUCAUGCUAUGAGGAAACCCAGACCACAUAGAGAAGCCACAUGUAAGUGUUCCAGCUGAAAGCCCCAGCUGAGUUCCUAGCCAGCAACCAGAAUCAACUGCCAGACAUGUGAAUGAGGAAGUCUUCGAGAUCACUCCAGCUCUAGCCAUUGUCUGACUGCAACUGUAUGAGAGACUCUGAGCAAGAGCCACAUAAAUAAGCCCAGUCAAUCCUCAGAGUCUUGAGAGAUAAUAACCAAUAAUUGUCAUUUUACAUCACUAAGUUUGUUAUGCAGUGUUAAAUAACCAAUACAGCAAAUUUCCUUCCAGUUUUUUGUGCGCAUUACAUUUUAAUUACAACAUUGGAAUUACAAAGUAUAUACGAUUUCGUAUUCUACUUUUCUCACCUUGCAUUAUUCAUGACCAUUUUACCACAACAUUAAAAUUUGUCUAAAAGAUCAUUAUAAUAGGCUCCUAAUAUUCUGCCAUACAGAUAUUUCAAAUGUGUUUAACCAGUCUUUAUUGUCAGACAUUUAUAUUAUUUUCCAAUUUUUCACCAUCAUAAAUAAUGCUGCAGUGAACAUUCUUGCAUCUACAACUUUUUUUAAGCAUGUUUAUUUUGGCGUUUGAAUAACAAAAGCAACACAGGUUAACUGAAACACUUCAAAGACAAUAAAAAAGUUUCUAAAGUUAAAUUGAUAUAUUCUUCCACUCCCCAUCCAAAGCCAUCCCCCAAUGUAAUCACUGUUAAAAAUCUAGUAUGACUCCUUACACACUUUAUUCUUCAUGUAUACAAACAUAUAAACAUAUAAUACUAGUUCACUUUCUUUCACAAACAUGGGGUUACUAUAGCCUUCUCUUUUACUCAGCAAUAUAUCAUGGAUGGCUUUCCAAGUCAAUAUGCCUUAUUCCUUUUAAUGAUUGGAGAGUAGUCCAUAGUAUAAAUACACCAUAAUUUACAUAACUGUUCCUUAUCAGCGGACACUCUGAUUGUUGCUAUUACUAUUGCAGUAAACACUCUUGUAAACUUACCUAUACAAUACUGGCACUUUUAUUUCUGACAGUUAAAUUAUCAUAAGUGAGAUUUCCAAGUCAAGGAGCAUGUGAAUUUUUCAUUUUAAUAAAUACAAUUGGAGGACUUCCAAUUAAAUAUGACAUUAAAUACAUGUUUAUCUAUUAUCUCUUCUAAAACUACGCUAAAAUGAAGAGAAAUUAGUUUUUUAAGGGGUAAAAUCCCACAAAGACAGAGAGAAUGGUAAUGAAGGCAGCAGAAGACUAGAUAUGCCAAGACGUUUUUGGAAGAUAGAAAGUAGAUGCAGGUUAGCAGAGCUGAAGGGACUGAAGAGCAAAUGUCUGCAGAGUGGGGGCUGCAAAAUGAGAAGCAAGACAAUUCAUGCUGUGGAAUGCCUGGGAAGCUCAGAAAUUAGAGACACCAGUGACCAAAGAAAGCAGGGGUGUGUCAAGAGGCCGAAAGCAGAGGAUUUGGUUGCAUGUGUGCGAGAAAAGCAGCUAGACCACUCUUAGUUCUCCUCCCUCAACCUGCUCAGCCAGGAAAAUACCUUUUCCCUACUCUGGCAGGAGAUUGGAAGUUUAUUCAAACUAAAUUGAUCCACAGAAGCCCCAGACCCAGAUGCCCCAGAUAGAGUUAAAAAUAGGGAAUGGGCAUUCUAUUGAAAAUAGGGGCACUAAAUGAAAGUCUACAAUAAGGUCCCUUUUCCUACACUCCAAAAACAUUGGUUCCAAGAACACCAGCAGUCAGGUAUAUAUUUUCCAGGCAUUUAUGGGAAACCAGGAGACAGAAUGAGGAGCAGGUUUCUUUGUGACUGAUUUACUCUGGAUAGCAGCAGCUGUUUCUUUUACCUGC